UACAGAGGGUGCGAGCGUUGUCCGGAAUCACUGGGCGUAAAGGGCGCGUAGGCGGCAUGGCAAGUCAGGAGUGAAAGGCCUGGGCUCAACCGAGGAACUGCUUUGAUACUGCCAAGCUAGAGUGCGGAAGGGGCAACUGGAAUUCCCAGUGUAGCGGUGAAAUGCGUAGAUAUCGAGAGGAACACCUGCGGCGAAGGCGGGAUUGCUGGCUGAUACUGACGCUGGAGGCGCGAAAGCCAGGGAGCGAACGGG
rnacentral:rRNA from 1 species